AUUGAACGCUGGCGGCAGGCCUAACACAUGCAAGUCGAGCGGCAGCACGGGUACUUGUACCUGGUGGCGAGCGGCGGACGGGUGAGUAAUGCCUAGGAAUCUGCCUGGUAGUGGGGGAUAACGCUCGGAAACGGACGCUAAUACCGCAUACGUCCUACGGGAGAGAGCAGGGGACCUUCGGGCCUUGCGCUAUCAGAUGAGCCUAGGUCGGAUUAGCUAGUUGGUGAGGAAUGGCUCACCAAGGCGACGAUCCGUAACUGGUCUGAGAGGAUGAUCAGUCACACUGGAACUGAGACACGGUCCAGACUCCUACGGGAGGCAGCAGUGGGGAAUAUUGGACAAUGGGCGAAAGCCUGAUCCAGCCAUGCCGCGUGUGUGAAGAAGGUC
rnacentral:rRNA from 1 species